rnacentral:rRNA from 1 species
UGAACGCUGGCGGCGUGCCUAAUACAUGCAAGUCAAGCGAACGGACGAGAAGCUUGCUUCUCUGAUGUUAGCGGCGGACGGGUGAGUAACACGUGGAUAACCUACCUAUAAGACUGGGAUAACUUCGGGAAACCGGAGCUAAUACCGGAUGAUAUUUUGAACCGCAUGGUUCAAAAGUGAAAGACGGUCUUGCUGUCACUUAUAGAUGGAUCCGCGCUGCAUUAGCUAGUUGGUAAGGUAACGGCUUACCAAGGCAACGAUGCAUAGCCGACCUGAGAGGGUGAUCGGCCACACUGGAACUGAGACACGGUCCAGACUCCUACGGGAGGCAGCAGUAGGGAAUCUUCCGCAAUGGGCGAAAGCCUGACGGAGCAACGCCGCGUGAGUGAUGAAGGUCUUCGGAUCGUAAAACUCUGUUAUUAGGGAAGAACAUAUGUGUAAGUAACUGUGCACAUCUUGACGGUACCUAAUCAGAAAGCCACGGCUAACUACGUG